rnacentral:rRNA from 1 species
AGAGAGAGACAUGCGCGCAUAUCAAUAAGCGGAGGAAAAGAAACUAACAAGGAUUCCCCUAGUAACGGCGAGUGAAGCGGGAAGAGCUCAAAUUUGAAAUCUUAAAGGGUUUCCCUUUACGAAUUGUAGUUUAAAGAAGUGUUUUCUGUUGAGGUUUUGGUAAAAGUUCUUUGGAAUAGGACAUCAUAGAGGGUGAGAAUCCCGUAUUUGACCUUUACUUUCAACUUUGUGAUGCACUUUCAAAGAGUCGGAUUGUUUGGGAAUGCAGUCCAAAAUGGGUGGUAAAUUUCAUCUAAAGCUAAAUAUUGGCGAGAGACCGAUAGCGAACAAGUACCGUGAGGGAAGGAUGAAAAGAACUUUGAAAAGAGAGUUAAACAGUACGUGAAAUUGUCAAAAGGGAAGCGUUUGACACCAGUGUUGUUUUUCUGAAAAUCAAUUAAAGAACUGUUUAUGCUAAGCUGUUUAGACUUUAUCAGCUAUCUGUUUAGUUUUGAGCUUUUCUUUAAUGCACUUUUCAGUUAACAAGUCAACAUCAAUUUCUUUUGCUGUAAAAAAGCUUGAGGAAGGUGGCUUGAGAUUCGUCUUAAGUGUUUAUAGCCUCUUGCCUAUGCAGUCGGAGAGAUUGAGGUCUGCAGCGUAGAUCCUUCGGGGCUAAAUGCAUUUGUGCUAAGUUAUAGCAUUUUAUAGACAACUUGUUGACUAUGAUUUGUCUUGUAGCUUACUCGCUUAUGUUAUUUUACCUACGCUUAGGAUGUUGAUGUGAUACUGCGAGCA